CUACAAACCUUCUCUCAAAGUUCUCUCAUGAUCCAAGAUCCAAACAAAGGACAAACUACACAAAUCAAGUGACUGGAAUCUCGUCGUGCUAGUGAGUUUCUUGUUCUUCUUGUGGUUGCUGAUUUUGGUGUUGUUGCAGCUCGUGUGGAGGGUUGUUCUAAGUGAUUUACAUUCUGAAAACUACUCUUCCAAGUUGCGCUGGAAAGAUACUUUGUGUUGAAGUAAUCUCAAAUUUCAGUUGUUCUAUAUGUUUGAAGAUUGAAGUGCUACGGGAAGUUAUACGCUGAUUUGUUAAGAAAAUGACAAAAGGUAUGUGAAGCUAUCCAUUUCCUUCUUUUCCACGACUAUGAUUGUACGUAACAUAACCGAACGAUUUUCCAAAGAUACUCCACUCUUAGAAUCUAGCAAUACUUACAUAAAUUCUCUUCCUAUGAAACUAUUGAUGCUGAUAUUGAUUCUGUUAUUCUAAUGUUAUC